rnacentral:rRNA from 1 species
AAAAACAUGGCUCUUUGGUUACAUAAAUAUAGGGAGUCGAGCCUGCCCGGUGAAAAUUUUUAACGGCCGCGGUACUCUAACCGUGCAAAGGUAGCAUAAUCAUUUGCCUUAUAAUUGAAGGCUCGUAUGAAUGGUUUGACGAGAACAACACUGUCUCCUUUUUAUUUUCAAGAAUUUAACUUUUAGGUGAAGAGGCCUAAAUUUUAUUGAAGGACAAGAAGACCCUGUCGAGCUUAAAAGAUAUUAUAGAGCCUUAUAUGCUUUUAAAUAAAUUUUCUAUUAAAGCUUUUUAGUUGGGGCGACUAAGGAACAAAAAAAGCUUCUUGUUAAUAAUGGACAGUCAUGUUUAGAUCCAAUAAAUAAUUGAUCAAAGAAAUUAGUUACCGCAGGGAUAACAGCAUAAUCUCUCUUGAGAGAUCUAAUCGAAAGGGGGGGUUGUGACCUCGAUGUUGGACUAGAAUAUCCUAAAGAUGCAGAAGUCUUCAAGGGUUGGUCUGUUCGACCAUUAAAAUUCUACGUGAUCUGA